rnacentral:lncRNA from 1 species
GACGGACAGAAAAAACAUAGUGUGCCGACAACGAAGUCUCGAUGAACCUACUCUAAAAGACAUCGUAAAAAACCAGAAGAAACCAAGUCGGAAGAAUAAAUAGACGAUGAACCAAAUCGAAAUCAGAUAGAAGACGAACAAAAAAUUCCAAUCGGAAGAAGGAAAAAAUCGCCGACCUAGACUUGUACCCAUAUAAUCGGAAGGAAA